CAAUAGCGUAUAUUAAAGUUGUUGCAGUUAAAAAGCUCGUAGUUGGAUUUCUGGUGGGAGCGAUCGGUCUGGCGCUUAGCGCGAGUACUUGCAUCGUCUCCGGCCAUCCUUGGGGAGAGUCUGUCUGGCAUUAGGUUGUCGGGCAGAGGAUCCUCAUCGUUUACUGUGAAAAAAUUAGAGUGUUCAAAGCAGGCUUAUGCCAUUGAAUAUAUUAGCAUGGAAUAAUAAGAUAGGACUUUGGUACUAUUUUGUUGGUUUGCGCACCAAAGUAAUGAUUAAUAGGGACAGUUGGGGGUAUUCGUAUUCCGUUGUCAGAGGUGAAAUUCUUGGAUUUACGGAAGACGAACUACUGCGAAAGCAUUUACCAAGGAUGUUUUCAUUAA
rnacentral:rRNA from 1 species